GUAACUUGAAGGGGACUUCGAAAUACUGGUAGAGCACCUUUGCAAGUCGGCUAUGGAGGCAUAUUUGAAAUGAUGGUCUGCUCGAAGUGUUCGGAGAAAUCAGAAUAAAAGACCAAUUUGUCGUUUUUGUAUUUCUGACUCGAACGUUGCAUGGUCCAUGGAAUGUUGUUAAAUCUCCUGCGCCAUAAGAGCGACGUGGACAUCGGCUCCCUGCAUCACUGCCCCUCUCUCCUUACUAGCCAGCCGUCCUUCCCCCUUCCCCUCGCUUCCCUCCCCACCGCUGUGUAAUAAUUUCUCAUCAAACGCUAAAUGCCUAGACAUGGUUACAACAGAAUAUCUUGAUUUGAUUUCUGCUAUUAUAGAACAUUUUUUUUCCAACAA